rnacentral:lncRNA from 1 species
GUAAGCUCCCACUUAGAACUAAUGCAUAGGCUUUAGCUUAGUGAGCUAACUCUAUCUUGAGGCGUGUGGACAACCUAGGUCAAUACUCGGUCGAUGACUCCUGGAUGACUUGGCCGUCAUAUUGUUUGAAUAUCAGGAAAAUACCAACCACAUUUCAACUGUGACUUGGUUGAGAAUGUGAGGAAGUAAAUUACACAUCCUGCUACUUCUAACCUGCUGACAUCUCAACUCAAACAAAGAGACUGAUUAAAACAUGACCAGAACAGGAAAUUUGCAGUGGGAAUCAAAUGCGCUGGAGAAUGGACAGGAAAUGCCUUCCUAAUUGGGAAGAUAAGUGAAGCCUUUGCCAGCUGUUGAAGGAGAGCGGCUGUGUGAAUUAGGAAGGACCUGAGCACUAGGACCAUGCCUCUGGACUACCUGGCCUGAUUAGUCCUUGCUGUCCCCAGUCCACCUGGCUGUGCUGCUUCUCCAGUUUCAACUGUUCUGCCUAUGGAACCCUGACCUUUUCACCGGACAUGCUACCUGUCCCAGACCUGCUGUUUUCAACUCUCUAGAGACAGCAGGAGUGGUAGAGAUACUCUGAAUGAUCGGCAAUGAAAAGCCAACUAACAUUUACUCCUGAGGUUAUAUUCAUCCCAAGGGCACAACGGCCACUGGCCACAAAAGGCAUAGAUUGUUUGGGGAGGCAUUAUAGCCAUACAAAUGGGAUGCCACCAGGAAAUUCGAGGCAUUAUCAAGUGCUUGUCAAAUUGUUAAUGAGAGACUGAGAGACUGAUGAAGUGUGUGGAGCCUGCGCAAAAAACAAAGCAGAGCUCAUGCCUUUUAUGCAACUUCUUUGUAAUCAUCAUUAGAGUUGCAUCAUACAGUCUUAGAAAGUAUUACAAAUCAAAGCAUAUAGCCCAACAUUUGUAUCACAACUAAAGUUGUAUAAAUAACUCUAAAUUAAGCAUAUAGGAGGACCUGUUUCUUUGUUAACCGCUCAACACAGAAUAGCCGCAGGUGCUCACUCCCUCAAAUCGUUUGGAGAAAAUAUACUUUCUAUUUUAUUCAGCUAUGUUCAAUUGUAUUCGUCAUACUAUGAAAUAAUAUAAAAUAAUGCCACGGAAUUCUAAGCCAAUCUUAUCUGCUAAUUUAACUAGUGUAGCCCAUAGCCAGAUCAGGGACCAAC